UUUGUGCCAUGAGAAGGCAGGCAAUGUGCAUAGAGAGCAGUGUCUUCGGUCUUGACAGCUCCAGGCCAAUUGGGUUCUGGUGUAGCUGUUGGAAAUAUUGGAGGAUAUGAAGAAAAUGUGGCCCCUGUCCAAGAAGAUGAUAAGAAAUUGAUUCAACUCUCCUUGAUCUAAAUAAAUAUGGAAACUUGACAAUAUUUUUCGAAAAAAUUGAAAGCAUUCAUAUAAUAGAACUUUGGAAAAAGUGGCACUCAUGCAGGUGCAGAUUACUGGAUACAAGUGGUUCAAACAUUUUAUUUAUUAGGAUUGUUCUCAGAUAUUAAGACCAAUGACAAAUAUAUCAUUUUAGCAUUGUGUGUCUUUAAAAUAUUGCAGCAAGUAGUAAAUAACAACAUUUGUUAAUGGUCAACCUGUAUCUAAUGAAUUAGACAAAGGCUUAAACUUAGUAACUUAAUAUCUGGUAACAGUUCACCCGUAAAAUAAAUUUUAAAUAAAACUAUUUCUCUAAUGAAUGAAAAAUCUCAUGUAAGAAAGAUCGACAGAAUUGCUUAGCAGCUGGUAUAUUAACAUACACAUCAUUUUAAACUGUAAUGACACUAUGUUUGCGUGAUGAAUGGGCACCAGACACACAUAGUGAUAGACUUAGCACCUUGAUGAUUUGCAAACAAGCUCCCUGAGUUUAUGGAAUCUGGCUGCGGUUUCCUUCGACGUCUAUUAUGACCUUCAAGACGUCUUCUACAGCUUCGUUUUACUUCAUCAAAUUCCACCAGUAAAUGGAAU
rnacentral:lncRNA from 1 species